UACGGGAGGCAGCAGUGGGGAAUAUUGCACAAUGGGCGCAAGCCUGAUGCAGCCAUGCCGCGUGUAUGAAAAAGGCCUUCGGGUUGUAAAGUACUUUCAGUCGUGAGGAAGGUGUUAAGGUUAAUAACCUUAGCAAUUGACGUUAGCGACAGAAGAAGCACCGGCUAACUCCGUGCCAGCAGCCGCGGUAAUACGGAGGGUGCGAGCGUUAAUCGGAAUUACUGGGCGUAAAGGGCACGCAGGCGGUUAAUUAAGUUGGAUGUGAAAUCCCCGGGCUUAACCUGGGAAUGGCAUUCAAGACUGGUUAGCUAGAGUCUUGUAGAGGGGGUAGAAUUCCAUGUGUAGCGGUGAAGUGCGUAGAGAUGUGGAGGAAUACCGGUGGCGAAGGCGGCCCCUGGACAAAGACUGACGCUCAUGUGCGAAAGCGUGGGGAGCAAACAGGGAUUAGAUACC
rnacentral:rRNA from 1 species